AUGAUAGAUGGGGUCCUUCCAACCCAACCAAUCCAUGGAGAGGGCAAGGAUGCGCCAUGGAGCGUGCAACAAAGCGUGCCAUGCAGUGUGCAAGGAUGUGGCACUGAGUGUGCAACAGAGCAUGGCACUGAGUGUGCAAGGGAGUGUGCAAGGGAGUGUGCAAGGGAGGGCUCACCGGGCUGCUGCACGGAGAGGCGCCGUGGGCUCCUCAUGCUGGGGGGGCUCCUCCUGGAGGUUGGGGCGCAGAGGGAAAGCGGUGUCAGCACUGCACUGCAACGCCGCCUCUAUUGCAGCGUCGCGCUGCUCCAACGCACCGGGCGGGAUGCAGCCAACCCCAAAGCACCCAACCCCAAAGCACCCAACCCCAAAGAACCGAACCCAAAAGCACUGAACCCCAAAGCACCCAACCCCAAAGCACCCAACCCCAAAGCACCCAACCCCAAAGCACUGAACCCCAAAGCUCCGAACCCCAAAGCUCCGAACCCCAAAGAAUCGAACCCCAAAGCACUGAACCCCAAAGCACCCAACCCCAAAGCACCCAACCCCAAAGCUCCGAACCCCAAAGCAUUGAACCCCAAAGAAUCAAACCCCAAAGCUCCGAAUCUCAAAGCACUGAACCCCAAAGCACCAAACUCUGAUACACCAAACCCCAAAGAACUGAACCCCAAAGCACCAAACCCCAAAGCACCGAACCCUGAAGCGCCAAACCCUGAAGCAUGGAUCCCCAAAGCACCAAACCCCAAAGCACCAAAGCACCGAACCCCAAAAGCACCCAACCCCAAAGCACCCAACCCCAAAGCACCAAAACCCCAAAGCACCAAACCCCAAAGCUCUGAGCCUCAAAGCACUGAACCCCAAAGCACCAAACCCAAAAGCACCAAAACCCAAAAGCACCUAAAUCCAAAGCAAUGAACCCAAAAGCACUGAACCCCAAAGCACUGAACCCCAAAGAAUCGAACCCCAAAGAAUCGAACCCCAAAGCACUGAACCCCAAAGCACCAAACCCCAAAGCACCAAACCCCAAAGCACCAAAGCACCAAACCCCAAAGAACCGAACCCCAAAGCACCAAACCCCAAAGCACCAAACCCCAAAGCACCUAAAUCCAAAGCAAUGAACCCCAAACACCCAACCCCAAAGAAUCGAACCCCAAAGCACUGAACCCCAAAGCUCCGAACCCCAAAGCACCCAACCCCAAAGCUCUGAACCCUGACGCAUCAAACCCCAAAGCAAUGAACCCAAAGCUCUGAACCCCAAAGCACCAAACUCUGAUACACCAAACCCCAAAGAACUGAACCCCAAAGCACCAGACCCCAAAGCUCUGAACCCCACAGCACCAAACCCCAAAGCUCUGAGCCCCAAAGCACCAAACCCCAAAGCAUCAAACCCUGAAGCACCAAACCCCAAAGCUCUGAACCCCAAAGCACCAAACCCUGAGACACCGAACCCCGAAGCACCGAACCCCGAAGCACCGAACCCUGAAGCAAUGAACCCCAAAGCUCUGAACCUCAAAGCUCUGAACCCCAAAGCAGCAAACCCUGAAGCACCAAACCCCAAAGCACCGAACCCCAAAGCACCCAACCCCAAAGCACCCAACCCCAAAACACCCAACCCCAAAACACCAAAUCUGGACGCACCGACCCCAAAAGCUCCGAACCCCGCCUCCCCACAGCCGCCCCCCCGAACCCCACCGCGCCGCGCCGCGGCGCGCACCGCCCGCUCUCUCCCCACGGAGCGCUCCGUGCCGACGCGCUGUGCGCGCCCCGCGCUGCGCCUUUGUGCGCGGCCGCCCCUUCCCUUCCCUUCCCUUCCCUUCCCUUCCCUUCCCUUCCCUUCCCUUCCCUUCCCUUCCCUUCCCUUCCCCUCCCCUCCCCUCCCUUCCCUUCCCUUCCCUUCCCUUCCCUUCCCUUCCCUUCCCUUCCCUUCCCUCCCUUCCCUUCCCUCCCUUCCCUUCCCUUCCCUUCCCUUCCCUUCCCUUCCCGUGCCGUGCCGUGCCGUGCCGUGCCGUGCCGUGCCCGCGUUCCCUCCCCGCUGCCCGGCUGUGCACCCGGGUGUGCCCUCGGUGCACGGGUGCGCUUCGACGUGCCGUGCCCGCCUGCCUUCCUCGGUGCGGAUCUGCGCGCACCCACCCACCCACCACCCACCC
rnacentral:lncRNA from 7 species